rnacentral:rRNA from 1 species
GGGUUAAGCCCUCGGCGCACUGCUCCGUAAUACGCAGAUAACCUACCCUAAGGUGGGGAAUAAUCUCGGGAAACUGAGGCCAAUACCCCAUAGGUAUCCGAGGCUGGAAUGCACGGAUACUCAAAGCUCCGGCGCCCUAGGAUGGGACUGUGGCCUAUCAGGCUGUUGCUGGUGUAAAGAACCAGCAAACCUAUAACGGGUACGGGCUAUGGAAGUAGGAGCCCGGAGAUGGAUUCUGAGACAUGAAUCCAGGAUCUACGGAUCGCAGCAGUUACGAAACCUUUGCAAUGCAUUAACGUGCGACAAGGGAACUUGGAGUGCUCUAGCACUGCUAGAGCUUUUGCUUACUGAAAACGGGUAGGCGAAUAAGGGCUGGGUAAUACAGGUGCCAGCCGCCAUGCUGACAGUUGACUAAUUGUUAGCAGUUGUCGGCACGGUAAGCGGUAAUACCUGAGGCCCGAGUGAUGGCCACUAUUAUUGGGUCUAAAGCGUCCGUAACCGGUCUGGUGAGUCCUUGCUGAAAUCCUCCGGUAAACUGGAGGGCGUGGUAGGGAUACUGCCAGACUUGAGACCGGGAGAGGAUAGGGGUGCUCAUGGGGGAGGGGUUAAAUCCUGUAAUCCUAUGGGGACCACCUGUGGCGUUGGUUGCUCAUCGUGAGCGACUGCUAUAAGAGGCGCCUAUCUGGAACGGGUCUGACGGUGAGGGACGAAAGCGUGGGUAGCGAUCGGG